GAACCGUGAGACAGGUGCUGCAUGGCUGUCGUCAGCUCGUGUUGUGAAAUGUUGGGUUAAGUCCCGCAACGAGCGCAACCCUUAUCCUUUGUUGCCAGCGGUCCGGCCGGGAACUCAAAGGAGACUGCCAGUGAUAAACUGGAGGAAGGUGGGGAUGACGUCAAGUCAUCAUGGCCCUUACGACCAGGGCUACACACGUGCUACAAUGGCGCAUACAAAGAGAAGCGACCUCGCGAGAGCAAGCGGACCUCAUAAAGUGCGUCGUAGUCCGGAUUGGAGUCUGCAACUCGACUCCAUGAAGUCGGAAUCGCUAGUAAUCGUGGAUCAGAAUGCCACGGUGAAUACGUUCCCGGGCCUUGUACACACCGCCCGUCACACCAUGGGAGUGGGUUGCAAAAGAAGUAGGUAGCUUAACCUUCGGGAGGGCGCUUACCACUUUGUGAUUCAUGACUGGGGUGAAGUCGUAACAAGGUAACCGUAGGGGAACCUGCGGUUGGAUCACCUCCUU
rnacentral:rRNA from 1 species